CUACGGGCCGCACCAGUGAGGAAUAUUGCGCAAUGGGGGAAACCCUGACGCAGCGACGCCGCGUGGAUGAUGAAGGCCUUCGGGUCGUAAAAUCCUGUCAGAAGGAAAGAAGUGUAUGGUAGCUAAUAUCUGCCAUACUUGACGGUACCUUCAAAGGAAGCACCGGCUAACUCCGUGCCAGCAGCCGCGGUAAUACGGAGGGUGCAAGCGUGGUUCGGAAUUACUGGGCGUAAAGCGCGCGUAGGCGGUUUUAUAAGUCAGAUGUGAAAGUCCACGGCUCAACCAUGGAAGUGCAUUUGAAACUGUAAGACUUGAGUAUUGGAGGGGGUAGUGGAAUUCCCGGUGUAGAGGUGAAAUUCGUAGAUAUCGGGAGGAAUACCGGUGGCGAAGGCGACUAUCUGGCCAAAUACUGACGCUGAGGUGCGAAAGCGUGGGGAGCAAACAGGAUUAGAUACCCCUGUAGUC
rnacentral:rRNA from 1 species